UUGCUUCUCUGUCGGCGAGUGGCGAACGGGUGAGUAUAGCAUCGGAACGUGCCAAGUAGUGGGGGAUAACCAAACGAAAGUUUGGCUAAUACCGCGUAAGCUCCAAGGAGGAAAGUAGGGGACCUAAAUAAGGCCUUACGCUAUUUGAUCGGCCGAUGUCGGAUUAGCUAGUUGGUGGGGUAAUGGCUCACCAAGGCAAUGAUCCGUAGCGGGUCUGAGAGGACGAUCCGCCACACUGGGACUGAGACACGGCCCAGACUCCUACGGGAGGCAGCAGUGGGGAAUUUUGGACAAUGGGGGAAACCCUGAUCCAGCCAUGCCGCGUGUAUGAAGAAGGCCUUAGGGUUGUAAAGUACUUUUGUUAGGGAAGAAAAGCUAGUUUUUAAUAAAAAUUAGUGGUGACGGUACCUAAAGAAUAAGCACCGGCUAACUACGUGCCAGCAGCCGCGGUAAUACGUAGGGUGCAAGCGUUAAUCGGAAUUAUUGGGCGUAAAGCGAGUGCAGACGGUUACUUAAGCCAGAUGUGAAAUCCCCAAGCUUAACUUGGGACGUGCAUUUGGAACUGGGUGACUAGAGUGUGUCAGAGGGAGGUAGAAUUCCACAUGUAGCGGUGGAAUGCGUAGAGAUGUGGAGGAAUACCGAUGGCGAAGGCAGCCUCCUGGGAUAACACUGACGUUGAGGCUCGAAAGCGUGGGGAGCA
rnacentral:rRNA from 1 species